rnacentral:lncRNA from 1 species
CGGUGGUGGUGGUGGUGACGAUGGGCAGGACACCCCCCCCCCCUCCCCCUGUGUAAAGUACUAAAGUAUGCCCCAUAAACCAAGAUAUAUUGUUAUCCUGCACACACAGGAUGGCACAGGACCGGACGACUGCUGCCUCCUGUUAUCUUCACUCGUCUCUACAAUAUUAUGCUCCUUCGUGAUUGAUAUGGUGUGGCGCUGAAGGCUGGCCGGGAUGGUGCAGGAGUCUCUUCCUCUUCACAGUAUGAUUGUUUACUGACCAUCUCAUAACAAACUGAUGUCUAGUGUUCUGCAAGUAGAGGUGAAUUGACUGCGCCGGUUCUUUGGCCGCCAGUUGUGUUUUAAGAUCUAACUAGAGGAGCAACUAAACUGAAGAUUAACGCACGCAAUAUUCUGGUGGGGAAACCGGCCUUCAUCCAUGUAAGUAGCUGGCUGCGUAAUGUGUGAGACCAGGAUACUAGCCUUCUUUGUUCAUUCAUAUUCCUUUGAUAAUUAUGCAUGAUGGGUUGUACGAAUCUCUAACAUCUAGAGCCAAUUUUAUUUGAGAUCAGAUAGGAUUUGUUGUGUUUAAAAAAUUACAGUAUGUACUGUAUUUUGUUUGUACUGAAGUAUUAAUUAUUUUUUAUACAAAAGUACAUUACUUAUUCUCUUAACACUUACAUUGCUCCAAUUGCUGGAAAGCAAUUGGCCUAUGUGCUCCAAUCACCAAGAGAUGAUUUAAGGUGCCCAUUAUUUAAAAAAACCCACCCAUUCUAGGGAGGAUGUCAUUUGAUACAAGACACCUUUGCUGAUCGUUUGCCAUAUUUGGAAAAAAUCCUGACUCACAGGAUUCAGUCUGAGUGUGACUCCUCACACUCCUUCCUUCCAGGGUCUUAGUAAUAAUAAUGCAGACCAUGUUUGGCGCAUCACCAUCUAGCAACUGAAUGUCCUGGGCGGUCAUACUAGGAACCAUUGAACUCUUAACAACAGCAAAUCAGUGAUAUCCAUGUAUAUAAUUGCAUGAAAAUGUGUGCAAUUAUAUAUACUGUACAGUAUACAGUAUAUAUAAAUAUAUAUAGAUAUAUUUUUGUUUAAUUAAUUAAUUCAUUCAUUGUGUCGGGAAACAGGAAGCCAGAGUGUAUUCAUACACGUUGGACUUAUAUCAAGGUCCCCCCCCCACAAGGCUACUUGUGGGGGAGGGGGACUUGGGGAACCAGACUUGUAAUAUAUAUUUGUUACUGACCCCCACCCAGGAUGCAAUCCUACAACAAGCUGACUCACUCCUGAGUACCUAGUUACUGCUAUAUGAACGGAGGCAUUAGGUGAAAGGAAAUGUGCCCAACCAUUUCUGUUUUGCCCAAGAUUUAAACCCGGAAUUCUCAAUUGUGCAUUGAGAACGAACCCAACUGUACUACAGGGAUGUAUACCGGUAUGUGUAAUAAGUAUUAAAACUCACAAUGGUGUGAUGUAUGAAAGAAAAUCAUUUUGAGGCAAUGGAGUGACUUGAACUAGCAUUCUGAUAAUCCUCAGACACUUGCAUUAACCGACUUAGCCACAAUGACACAAAAGUUGACCAACCCGGAACGCUACUGAAUUCACUGAGAGGUUCUGGAGGCCCUUAACUAGAACCCAACCAAGAUUUUACAGUCAACCCGACCACACUCUGGCCUACAGUGAUGGUGUUCACACUCUUACACCCCAUUCAAACCGCAAUGAAAUCACAGUGGUGAGAAAAGGCAGGUGUCUGGGAAUCACCAGAAUGUGAUUUUAAGUAAAUCCAUUGCCUAAAAAAUUAUUUUCAUUGAUAUAUCAUGCCAUUGUGAUUUCACUGUGAUCUGAGUGGGGCAUGAGAGUGUGAACACCCCACUCAGUGGGGUGUUCACACUCUUGUCAUAUACAUCAGUGACAUAGAUGAGAAUAUUACAAACCACAUUAUCAGAUUUGUAGAUGACACUAAGUUUUAUGGUAAAUUGGUAUGUGAAAAUGAUAGAGGCCUUACAAAGAGAUCUACAAGAACACUACAAAUGGUCGGAAGCCUGGCAAAUGCUUUUUAAUAUCCAAAAAUGCAAGGCCUUGCAUGUGAGGCAUAACAAUGCACCUCACAACUAUCAAGUUAACAGCAUUAUCUUGCAGCAGAUUGAUGAAGAAAAGGACCUUGGAGUCGGAAUCUACCAUUCAAUGAAAGUUGCACAACAAGUGGGAGCUGCAGUAAAAGAGCUAAGAAUAGUCAAACAAACUCUUUAACUUCAAAUAGUAGGUGGUGGUUAUUCAACUGUAUAAAUCUCUGGUGUGCCCUCACUUGGCUUAUUGUAUCCAAGCAUGGAGACCUCAUCUUCAGAAAGACAUAACUGCUUUGGAGAAAGUUCCAUGUCGGGCAACAAAAAUCAUUCCAGAACACAGUCAACUCUCAUACCAGGAACAGUUGAGGGGCCACAGAGCUAGCAACACUGCAAACCAGGCUUGACAAAGCUGCUUUCAUCAAAACUUAAAAUGCUGUACAAUUUGGAGGACAAUUUCUUUAUCUGAAUUUACCCAUGAGUCACUAACACUAGUGGCCUCGACAAUGACAUGAAGCCUGCAGCUUGUCAAAGGUCCCCUCAUUUCCCUUGAUGAUCAUUUCCAGUUGGAUUUUAAAAUUUAACAGAGUUUAGCAUUCAUGAAUUU